UGCGACCCCAGGUCAGGCGGGACUACCC
rnacentral:rRNA from 7 species